UUGUUUUUCUUCAGGGGAUAAUAUAACUUACUGCAUGGUGGCAUUGAAGAAUGACAGAAAUAACAUACUUUUAAAGAUUUUUGUAAAGCAAUAUUAGGCGCUAUACAGGACUCCAGGUCCUCUUAUCGCCUUCUCACUUUGGAACGAAAUCCACGCUGUCGGUGGCAUCUGACUCUCAGACGACUUGCCUGUACGGGGCUCGAUCUCCCAGUCUCCGUCUCUGACCCUCUCCUCGGUGGAGGGAAACGGAUAAAGAAACUGACACACAAAGAAGUCACUGAUUUGCCUGAGAUCACGGAGCUGGAAGUUGAAGUUAGUUCUUCUCCAGACCCAUGCGGCUUU